GACGAACGCUGGCGGCGUGCUUAACACAUGCAAGUCGAACGGAAAGGCCUGCUUUCCCUUGUGGAUUGCGGGUACUCGAGUGGCGAACGGGUGAGUAACACGUGAGUGAUCUGCCCCCAACUUGGGUAUAAGCCUGGGAAACUGGGUCUAAUUCCCGAUAGGACUGCAGGGUGGUGCCUGUGGUGGAAAACGAUUUUCUAGUGGUUGGGGAUGAGCUCGCGGCCUAUCAGCUUGUUGGUGGGGUAAUGGCCUACCAAGGCGGCGACGGGUAGCCGGCCUGUGAGGGUGGACGGCCACAUUGGGACUGAGUUCCGGCCCAGACUCCUACGAGAGGCAGCAGUGGGGAAUAUUGCACAAUGGGCGGAAGCCUGAUGCAGCGACGCCGCGUGGGGGAUGACGGCCUUCGGGUUGUAAACUCCUUUCGACCGCGAGGAAGCCACCUGGUUGGAAGGGUGGUGACGGUAGUGGUAGAAGAAGCACCGGCUAACUACGUG
rnacentral:rRNA from 1 species